rnacentral:pre_miRNA from 1 species
CUUGGCAUUCUGUCCACCUCCUUGCCGAUCGAUCUUGCAGAAAGUUUUUUUUUGGAGGUGGGCAUACUGCCAAUGGA